GUGGGGACCGGCGGGGCGGGGGCAGGGCGGGACGGCUCUCCUAGACAGGGCUGCGGCCUUCGGAGGAGCGCGGCGGCGUCGCGGCCCGCUCGUCCUGCCCGGACUUGGGCAGCGCUCAGCGGCACCAUCUGAUCGGCUUCCGUGCCGGAUGCGGCCAGGGGUUGGACUCGGUGCCCCGAUGUGUGCGGAAGCUGCAACCUCGGCUGUUCGGCGAUUGCGUCGUUCGAACGGCCCAUUAUAUACCCGUAUGCAGACACGAGGCUGCUGGGACCCUUCAGUUUAGGUCUCUGAACGCUCCUCCAAAGCACGGCUGCGCGCUGGCUGCUUUAUGGAAACGGCCACCUUCAGUUCAGUGGUGCUGAAGGGACCUGAAAGGUAACACUGAAAGGACUGGAAGGAACUGCGGGUGCUGGCGGCGAGGAGAGGAAUGGCACGUGAGUACGCGAGUGCAGCAGCUCAGAACAGUGUCAUCCACUAUCUGCAGCAGGGUGCAAUGCAGAUAGCAAGAUACAGCUAUUCUGGAGGAACUUGUCCAGAGCACUGCGUGGAUAUUUUGGUGACAUCACGAGGUCAGCAACCUGUUUAGAGAUUUUCAAAGACUGAGCACUCAAGAACCCAUUAUUUCCCAACACUUGUAAUUUCAUUUAAAAACCUAAGCAAUUUUAGGUAGCUUUAAUUUUUGCUAGACAGAAAUACCGAUGAUAUGUAAUGUAAUUUCUUUUUCUACCCAAAGCCCAAUUCCCAGAAGCAAGCUUGGAAAUGGUAGCUCCACACUGGAGUUCCAGGUCAGCUUCCUCCCCAAGGGGAAUGUACUCUCCUAGAAACACUGCUCCAAGCUGUGGGUUAUGGUUGACAUGCCCAAAGAACAGGAUGCCAUCCAGAGAGACCUAGACAGCCUGGAGAAGUGGCAUCAGGAGACACUCGUGAGGGUCAACAAAGCUAAGUGCAAGAUUUUGCACCUGGGUCAAGGUGCAUGCAAUUGUUUGGCAUCACUUGAGUCAGCACUGCACAGCACAGCCCUCCCUGUGCCCUGCUUUCACAGAAUCACAGAAUGGCUCCGAUUGGAAGGGAGACCUCAAGGAUACUGAAUCUCCAACCCCCCUGCUACAUGCAGGGCCACCAACCUCCCCAUUAAAUACUAGACCAGGCUGCCCAGGGCCCCAUCCAACCUGGCCUUGAACACCUCCAGGGAUGGGGCAUCCACAGCCUCUCUGGGCAGCCUGUUCCAGCACCUCACCAGUCUCAUAGUAAAGAACUUUCCCUGACAUCCAACCUAAAUUUUCCCUCCUUCAACUUAAGACCAUUUCCCCUUGUCCUGCUGUUAUCUACCCUUUCAAAGAGUUUACUCCCUUUCUGUUUGUAGGCUCCCUUUAUAUGCUGGAAGGCUGCCAUGAGGUCACCCCACAGCCUUCUUUUCUCCAGGCUGAACAAGCCCAGCUCCCUCAGCCUGUCUUCUUGAUCAUCUUUGUGGCUCUCCUCUGGACCCUCUCCAACAGCUGUGUGUCUUUUUUGUAAGAUCUAGACACAGUACUGCAGGUGGGGCCUCACAAGAGCAGAGUAGAGAGGCACAGUCACUUCCCUGUCCCUGCUGGCCACCCCUCUUCAGAUAGAGCCCAGGAUACCAUUUGCUUUCUGAGCAGCAAGAGCACACUACGGGCUCAUGUUCAGUUUUUCAUCCAUCAGGACCCCCAGGUCCUUCUCUGCAGGACUGCUCUCAAGGACCGCUCCUUCCAGUCUGUGUAAAUGCCUGGGAUUCCUCCAGCCCAAAUGCAGUCUUGCACUUCGUUGUGUAGAAUUUCAUUAAGUUCACUCGGGUCCACCUUUCAAGUCUGUUGAGGUCCCACAGAAUGGCAUCCCUUCCUUCCAUCAUGUCAACUGUUCCACUCAGCUUGGUGUCAGCUUGGUGUCUUUCAGUUGGCACAGCAUUUGUAGCACACCGAUCGUUUUGGAGUUGCUGAGCUAUGGGCGUGUGCCCAGGGCCACGGGACAAAGAAGAGCCACCACAUUUAAGUGUCAGGGAAGGAGAGGGCUACACUUUGGAUGAUGCUGGGCUGCAUGUAGCUCACUGGCUGUGGGUUGGACAAGUGUGACUUUGACAAAGCCUUUGAUACCAUUUCCUGCAGUACCCUUGUAGCUAAACCAGUGUGAUAAAGACUGACAAGGUGGAUGAUAAGGUGGGUGGAAGAGCAUUUAGUCUGUGGGUUUCAAAGAGCUGGAAUCAGCAGCACAGAGUUCAGCUGCUGGCUGAUCACUAAUGACAUCCCUUAGAUAUCCACACAUGUUUAACAUAUUUAUUAAUUAUCUGGAUGAUGGGACAAAGGUUUGUUUGCAGAGAAGUUUGAGCGUUUGUUGACUUCUAAGCACCCACCAUAUUUUGAACAGCUCUACAGAAAGGUCUUAGGAGAAAGAGCUUUGACUCAGUAGAUUCAAAACCUAGUUUUCUGCCUGCUGCUCACACUCUGCUUUUGUUGGGCUUUUCCACAGAUGUCAGCAGUGUCUGUAUGGAGCCAGCAAUCUUUAGUACUCAGAGCAUCCCCCUGAGACAUAACCAUAGGACAAAAUGGGAUGUAAUUCAAAAUGACCACCUAAGUGUUGGGACCUAACAAGAAAAGCCUAGCAGCAGGGUGAGAGGCUCCCUCUGCCCUUAACAGCCGCACGCCGCAUGCCCAGCUCCUGGCUGGAUCACAGAGUUGGCACAGAUUUGUCAGGGUUGAUGAAAACUCCAGCUUGUGCAAUUAUACAGCGCCAUCACAUGCUUAAUAUCCAAGAAUAAUAGCCUGAAACAUAGCCAAGAACAGUAACCUGAAACAGCCAAGUUUUUCACAGUGACUUACUGCCAGCCUUCCCACAUUGGACCAAAAUCUGUUCUUGAGGCUCUUCUUUAAAUUCCUUUUCCCUGUACCCAUCCCAGCAGCUCACCUGUAACCAAAGCAAGUCCUGGUGGCGCUCUGCUUCUGCUGCCCAUCCCAUCCCUUUCUCUCAAGGAGCAAUGGCUCUGAGCUUGGUACCAAAACAGGAGCAUGUCCUGGGUCCCAUCUCCCAGCCACAAAGGGCAGCUUCUUGCUGUAGAAUGCUGAGGAGCCCAGUAGGGAUCACACAGCCCAUGCAGCCUCACUGGUUCUGUCCCAGCUGCUGAUUUGGGUUUCUUCUCUAAGAUUCCCAAGAGCAGUGAAUAUAUUGCACAUCUUCUCAUUUUUGGAUUACUGCUUGUACCGUGUGGUUUUUCUCAGCUGUGCAGGAGCACCAACAGGAAUUUUGGACAGAGUUACUGGCUAAAAUCCCGUUAUUAAUUUUCUUGUAAGCAAAGCAUUUAUAUCCAUAUGGGAAAACUCAUCCUGCUUUCCUAAAGCAUAAGAUCAGUGGGAACCUUUGAAAAUAACGAGGUGAUUAAAUAUGCGUUUAGCAGUUGAGAAGAUGGAAGAACUGUGAUUUGUUUCCAGCAUCGACUUGAGCUGUGACUUGGAGGCAAGCAAGCAGCAGGCUGGCAUGUCAGUUUGUUACAGCUCUUGUAAAAUGUAUGUAAUGGGGCCAUUGGCCCUGCAGUAAUAAAGCACCUGCAAAUCUAGGUGCAAAGUACAAUCACGAGGACUGAUACCAUCAUGAUUGCAGAGGAAAGAGGAAGGUUGGCAAACAGGUAUUGGGAAUGCUAGCUUGCUCAGUGUUAGGCCCCCAGUUUGGGUGUUUAUGAAUCCAAACAAAUUCUGAAUGUGCUUUGUUCCCAGGAAAGCUUUCAGAGCUGCACCAGAAAGAUGAGCUGCCAGAAGCAUUACUUCCUGACCACUUACUGCUGUAGAUCUCUGAGCCUUAGGAAGGGUACAACUGAUGACCCAUUCAUGUAGCCUUCCUGCAGGCAUCAAGGAUGCGAUUACUCCAACUCUGAAGAUGUUCUGGGAAACAUCACACUGCCUACUGUCACUCUGAUUAGAUUCAUGAGUGAGAAUGAAUAACUGGAUGCAAAAAACCAGCAACUGAGGGAGAAACACAAGAAGAACGUAAAGGAGAAGACUGCAUGCUCAGACUGUUGUCUGCAAAGGUGCAGGUAUCUGCAGAGCAGGCUGAGCUGACAAAGAAGCUGUGCCCAGUGCUGGUAGGCUGCACACCAGGGGCUGCUCUGACAUCAGUUCACAAGCUCCUCGGCUCUGCCCUUCACUAGUGGCCCAUUAAAUAAGCAGAAGAUGGUCUGAAGAACCAUCUUGAUUCUGCAAGCACACCUCAAAUAAUGUAGCACUUCAACAGAGAAAGUGAAGCAUGCAUUUUUCCCUGCUUUUUUUUGCCGAAAUGAUUAUGAACACACUGCAAAUUAAAACAAACAAGCAUGCAAUUUUGGUGGUCUAUAACCCAUGGCAGUCAUUUCCAAAGGCACCAAGUACUCAGCAUUAGAGUACAGAAUUUGUUAUUAUGUUCUUUUCAUGAAUAACACAGUGUCGAGCUCA